rnacentral:rRNA from 1 species
CUGAUGCAGGCGCAGGAUAUUUGUGGGGCCCUGUCCCUAGUACGAGAGGACCGGGACAGACGAACCUACGGUGUUCCAGUUGUCACGCCAGUGGCAAUGGCUGGGUAGCCGCGUUCGGAAAAGAUAAAUGCUGAAUGCAUAUAAGCGUGAAGCCUUCCCCGAGAAUAGAUAUCCCUGAAGACGCCUUGGAGACUACAAGGUUGAUAGGCAGCAAGUGUAAGAGCCGUAAGGCUUUCAGCUUAGCUGUACUAAUCCGUCGUCAGGCUUGACCAU